CGCCCCAGUAGUGGUGAAGUGGUAGCACGCGCUACUCGGUAUAGGCGGAACGCGGGUUCAACUCCCGGCUGGAGUCGA